rnacentral:lncRNA from 13 species
GAUUGCAGCAAUCUCAGUUUAUAAGUCCCAACAAGGAGAGAGAGCAUAUUAAUGUACGACGCAAAGCUGACAGAGCAAAAUUGAGUGGUUUGGAUUGCUGGGAAUGUGAAAAGUAUUACAAGAAUUUGUCGCUGUCAAAAGACGAACUGCAGAAGAGAAAAAAUAAAUGCUCACGACAUCGACGAAAGUACGAAAGGCCAAUAACACCAGAAGGAUUUUGAAAUCCCGAAUUUCCUGACACACAGUCAUCGGAACCAGUUGGAAAAUGUAUAGAACCAGUACUAGAAAAGGGUUGCAGUAAUUCGAAGAUUUUUCAACCUGAAGAAUGCUUCAUAUUCGAUCUCAAUCAUUCAGAAAGCAAUCAAUCGGGAGGAUGCAAUAAUGAAAAGGAGAUUACAAAUGAAGAACACGACCCAUUACAAACUUCUACAUGUGAAACAACCACCGAUGUUGUCAAUGAUGUAGACAACCAUGAUGUAGACAACUAUGAUGUAUUAGACAACCAUGAUGUAUUAGACAACCAUG